UCGUGGCCGAGUGGUUGAAGGCAGCGGACUCAUAAUCCGUUUUCGUAAGAACAUCACUGGUUCGAAUCCAGUCGAAU
rnacentral:ncRNA from 15 species